CGAACGCUGGCGGCGUGCUUAACACAUGCAAGUCGCACGGAAAGGCCCUGCUUUUGUGGGGUGCUCGAGUGGCGAACGGGUGAGUAACACGUGAGUAACCUGCCCUUGACUUUGGGAUAACUUCAGGAAACUGGGGCUAAUACCGGAUAGGAGCUCCUGCUGCAUGGUGGGGGUUGGAAAGUUUCGGCGGUUGGGGAUGGACUCGCGGCUUAUCAGCUUGUUGGUGGGGUAGUGGCUUACCAAGGCUUUGACGGGUAGCCGGCCUGAGAGGGUGACCGGCCACAUUGGGACUGAGAUACGGCCCAGACUCCUACGGGAGGCAGCAGUGGGGAAUAUUGCACAAUGGGCGGAAGCCUGAUGCAGCAACGCCGCGUGCGGGAUGACGGCCUUCGGGUUGUAAACCGCUUUCGCCUGUGACGAAGCGUGAGUGACGGUAAUGGGUAAAGAAGCACCGGCUAACUACGUG
rnacentral:rRNA from 1 species